GAUGCGAUGAUGAACGUGUUGAUCACGGGGUUGAGGCAGUGGCGGGGGAUGGCUUCGUCGUUCCUCGCCGUGAGCCGAUUGAACCAUUCAAACGACUUCUCCUUCCACUGAGCUCU